rnacentral:rRNA from 1 species
AUCCAUAGCUGGUCUGAGAGGAUGAUCAGCCACACUGGGACUGAGACACGGCCCAGACUCCUACGGGAGGCAGCAGUGGGGAAUAUUGGACAAUGGGCGAAAGCCUGAUCCAGCAAUGCCGCGUGAGUGAUGAAGGCCCUAGGGUUGUAAAGCUCUUUUACCCGGGAAGAUAAUGACUGUACCGGGAGAAUAAGCCCCGGCUAACUCCGUGCCAGCAGCCGCGGUAAUACGGAGGGGGCUAGCGUUGUUCGGAAUUACUGGGCGUAAAGCGCACGUAGGCGGCUUUGUAAGUCAGAGGUGAAAGCCUGGAGCUCAACUCCAGAACUGCCUUUGAGACUGCAUCGCUUGAAUCCAGGAGAGGUCAGUGGAAUUCCGAGUGUAGAGGUGAAAUUCGUAGAUAUUCGGAAGAACACCAGUGGCGAAGGCGGCUGACUGGACUGGUAUUGACGCUGAGGUGCGAAAGCGUGGGGAGCAAA